rnacentral:rRNA from 1 species
CGAACGGACGAACGCUGGCGGCGUGCUUAACACAUGCAAGUCGAGCGAUGAAGCUUCUUCGGAAGUGGAUUAGCGGCGGACGGCGAGUAACACGUGGGUAACCUGCCUCAUAGAGGGAAUAGCCUUUCGAAAGGAAGAUUAAUACCGCAUAAGAUUUUAUCGCUGAAAGAUGGCCUCGCGUCUGAUUAGCUAGUUGGUGAGGUAACGGCCCACCAAGGCGACGAUCAGUAGCCGGACUGAGAGGUUGACCGGCCACAUUGGGACUGAGACACGGCCCAGACUCCUACGGGAGGCAGCAGUGGGGAAUAUUGCACAAUGGGCGCAAGCCUGAUGCAGCAACGCCGCGUGAGGGAAGACGGUCUUCGGAUUGUAAACCUCUGUCCUUGGUGAAGAAACAUGACGGUAGCCAUGGAGGAAGCCACGGCUAACUACGUG